rnacentral:rRNA from 1 species
GAUGAACGCUGGCGGCGUGCCUAAUACAUGCAAGUCGAGCGAACAGACGAGGAGCUUGCUCCUCUGACGUUAGCGGCGGACGGGUGAUUAAUACGUGGAUAACCUACCUAUAAGAAUGGGAUAACUUCGGGAAACCGGAGCUAAUACCGGAUCAUAUAUUGAACCGCAUGGUUCAAUAGUGAAAGACGGUUUUGAUGUCACUUAUAGAUGGAUCCGCGCCGGAUUAGCUAGUUGGUAAGGUAACGGCUUACCAAGGCAACGAUGCGUAGCCGACCUGAGAGGGUGAUCGGCCACACUGGAACUGAGACACGGUCCAGACUCCUACGGGAGGCAGCAGUAGGGAAUCUUCCGCAAUGGGCGAAAGCCUGACGGAGCAACGCCGCGUGAGUGAUGAAGGUCUUCGGAUCGUAAAACUCUGUUAUUAGGGAAGAACAAAUGUGUAAGUAACUAUGCACGUCUUGACGGUACCUAAUCAGAAAGCCACGGCUAACUACGUG